CGGGCGCGCACGCCGAGUGACGCUCGGAGGAGGAAGCGCAACCCCCUUCCCCUCCCUCGCUGCCCCUGGCCCAGCGGGAGCCCCCCCAGUGCGCCUGUGCGGAGGCCUACUUGAUUAUGUGUGCCCUCUCUGGGCUCCAGCGUUAGCCGCCGGGUGGAGAUGGUCUCUAGCGACCGGCCCGUGUCACUGGAGGACGAGGUCUCCCAUAGUAUGAAGGAGAUGAUUGGAGGCUGUUGCGUUUGCUCAGACGAGAGAGGCUGGGCCGAGAACCCGCUGGUUUAUUGCGACGGGCACGGCUGCAGCGUCGCGGUGCAUCAAGCUUGCUAUGGCAUUGUUCAAGUACCCACUGGACCAUGGUUUUGCAGGAAAUGUGAAUCUCAGGAGAGAGCAGCCAGAGUGAGAUGUGAACUGUGUCCUCAUAAGGAUGGAGCUUUAAAAAGAACAGAUAAUGGCGGUUGGGCUCAUGUGGUUUGUGCCCUGUAUAUUCCAGAGGUACAGUUUGCCAAUGUUUCUACAAUGGAACCAAUUGUUUUACAGUCUGUGCCACAUGAUCGUUAUAAUAAGACUUGCUACAUUUGUGAUGAACAAGGAAGAGAAAGCAAAGCAGCCACUGGUGCUUGCAUGACAUGUAAUAAACAUGGAUGUCGACAGGCUUUCCAUGUGACAUGUGCUCAGUUUGCAGGACUACUUUGUGAAGAAGAAGGUAAUGGUGCAGAUAACGUCCAAUACUGUGGCUACUGUAAAUACCAUUUCAGUAAGCUGAAAAAGAGCAAACGGGGAUGUAAUAGGUCAUAUGAUCAAAGUUUAAGUGAUUCUUCCUCUCACUCUCAGGAUAAACAUCAUGAGAAAGAGAAAAAAAAAUAUAAAGAAAAGGACAAACACAAACAAAAACACAAGAAGCAACCAGAACCAUCACCUGCAUUGGUUCCUUCCUUGACUGUUACUACAGAAAAAACUUAUACAAGCACUAGCAGCAACUCUAUAUCUGGAUCAUUGAAGCGUUUGGAAGAUACUGCAGCACGAUUUACAAAUGCAAAUUUCCAGGAAGUCUCUGCGCACACUACUAGUGCAAAAGAUGUUUCAGAGGCUAGAGGGUCAGAGGGCAAAGGGAAGAAAUCUUCAGCUCACAGCUCAGGUCAAAGGGGAAGAAAGCCUGGUGGAAGAAAUCCAGGAACGACUGUAUCAGCAGCUAGUCCUUUCCAGCAAGGCAGUUUUUCAGGAACUCCAGGCAGUGUAAAAUCAUCUUCGGGAAGUUCAGUACAGUCUCCCCAGGAUUUCUUGAGCUUUACAGACUCAGAUCUGCGUAAUGACAGUUACACUCACUCCCAACAGUCAUCAUCAACCAAAGAUGUACAUAAAGGAGAGUCUGGAAGCCAGGAAGGGGGGGUAAAUAGUUUUAGUUCCAUAAUUGGUCUCCCUUCAACCUCAGCUGUUAUUCCGCAGCCUAAAAGCUUUGAAAAUUCACCUGGAGAUUUGGGUAAUUCCAGCCUUCCUACAGCAGGAUAUAAGCGGGCUCAAACUUCUGGCAUAGAAGAAGAAACUGUAAAGGAAAAGAAAAGAAAAGGAAAUAAGCAAAGUAAGCAUGGGCCUGGUAGACCCAAAGGCAACAAAAGUCAAGAGAAUGUUUCUCAUCUCUCAGUUUCUUCUGCUUCACCAACGUCAUCUGUAGCGUCAGCUGCAGGAAGUGUAACCAGCUCUAGUCUCCAGAAAUCCCCCACGCCGCUCAGGAAUGGGAGUGUGCAGAGUCUUAGUGUGGGCUCCUCUCCACUUGGUUCAGAAAUUUCCAUGCAGUAUCGGCAUGAUGGAGCUUGUCCAACAACUACUUUCUCAGAGUUGCUGAAUGCAAUACACAAUGGUAUUUAUAGCAGCAGUGAUGUAGCAGUAUCAUUUCCAAAUGUAGCAUCUGGCUCAGGAUCGAGUACUCCUGUCUCCAGUUCUCAUUUACCUCAGCAACCUUCUGGGCAUUUACAGCAAGUGGGAGCGCUCUCCCCGUCUGCUGGGUCAUCUGCACCCUCUGCUGUUGCUACAACUCAGGCAAAUACUCUAGCUGGAUCUUCUCUUAGUCAGGCAUCAUCUCAUAUAUAUGGCAAUAGAUUAAAUCCAAAUUCAUCAAUGGCAGCUCUUAUAGCUCAGUCUGAAAAUAAUCAAACAGAUCAAGAACUCGGAGACAAUAGCCGCAGCCUUGGUGGCAGAGGAAGCUCACCUAGAGGGAGUCUCUCACCAAGGUCCCCUGUAAGUAGCUUACAGAUCCGCUAUGAUCAACCAGGCAACAGCAGUUUGGAAAACCUGCCCCCAGUAGCAGCCAGCAUAGAGCAGCUUCUGGAGAGGCAGUGGAGUGAAGGACAGCAGUUUUUAUUAGAACAGGGCACUCCUAGUGACAUUUUAGGAAUGCUGAAGUCAUUACACCAACUUCAAGUAGAAAAUCGAAGAUUAGAGGAACAGAUUAAAAACUUGACUGCCAAAAAAGAACGCCUUCAAUUAUUGAAUGCACAGCUCUCAGUGCCUUUUCCAACAAUAACAACAAAUCCCAGCCCAUCUCAUCAAAUGCAUGCAUUUUCAGCACAGAAUGCUCCUACUACUGAUUCCUUGAACAGCAGUAAGAGCCCUCAUCUAGGAAACAGCUUUCUACCUGAUAAUUCUCUUCCUGUAUUAAAUCAGGACUUAACCUCCAGUGGACAGAGCACCAGCAGCUCCUCGGCUCUCUCUACUCCCCCUCCUGCGGGGCAGAGUCCAGCCCAGCAGGGCUCAGGCCUUAGUGGAGUUCAGCAGGUCAAUGGUGUGACAGUGGGGGCACUGGCCAGUGGAAUGCAGACUGUGACAUCCACCAUUCCUGCCGUGCCUGGAGUGGGUGGAAUAAUUGGAGCUUUGCCAGGUAACCAACUGGCAAUUAAUGGCAUUGUAGGAGCUUUAAAUGGGGUUAUUCAGACCCCUGUCACAAUAUCUCAGAACCCUACCCCCCUCACCCACACAACUGUACCACCUAAUGCAGCACAUCCAAUGCCAACUACACUGACUAACAGUGCCUCAGGACUAGGAUUACUUUCUGACCAGCAAAGACAAAUAUUUCUUCAUCAACAGCAAUUCCAGCAGUUGUUAAAUUCGCAGCAGCUCACACCAGAGCAGCACCAGGCCCUUCUGUAUCAGCUGGUGCAGCAGCACCACCAGCCUGAUCUCCAGCAGCUGCAGAUCCCGGCACCCACGCAGAUGCCCAUCAACAACCUGCUCGCAGGCACGCAGGCGCCUCCGCUUCAUCCAGCCACCACCAACCCGUUCCUCACCAUCCAUGGCGAUAAUGCAAGUCAAAAGGUCUACUUUACUGGAGUAUAAAUGUUUCCCCUAAAUUCCAGUUCAGGGCAGAACCCUGUUAGAGGAAGGAUAUUGGGAUAUAGAAUGGAGACUGGACAUCAGGAAAAGGAAGAAGGGAAAGAAUGAGAGACUUAGUGAUAAAACUGGGCCUGUUGCUCAAGAAAAAAGUUGACACUUGAGAAACAUCUAGAAAUGGACUAUCCUGCUGCUCUAGCACUUCAUCUGGCUGCUGUUGCAGUCCCCUUACUACACCUAUGAAGAAAUGCAACAAGAAACCAGCUGCACGACAAAGGAUUAAUUGCCCCAAGAGCAUUCUUGUAAGGCUUUGAUUGAUUUUCUUGUUGCUUUGUUGCACUGAAAUGGAAUUCCCAUAUCCCCCACCCCUCACCCACAUUUUUUGAAUUUUGAAAGAAAAUUUAAUAGCUAACUUUUGUCAUUGAAAUAAUUUACAUGCAAUGAGUUUAUCAGCCUAAGGGAAAUUUAAUAUAGUUGGUAUACAACUAAUUUUGUUAUAAAUUGGAGAGAUG